AUACACUCCUCUAUUUUCACAAUACAUACACUUAUCUACACACACAAAAACAAAAACGGAGAGAAAUAGGAGGGUAGAGGGAGAAAAAUAGAGAAGUGAGUAGCGAAAACAGAGAAGAAAAAUUGAGAGAAAAGGGUGAGACGUGAGAGAGCCGGAGAGAAAAUCAGUAAAAGGGGAUUGGAAAAUUUAGAGAGAAUCGAGAGAGAGAGAGAGAGAGAAAUCAAGAGAGUGAGAAAGAGGAAUUAAACAGUGAGGAAUUAGAGGGGAAAGUGGAGAGAGGAAUGGGAGCAAAAUCAGUUUGCACUACUUUGAUAUUUCGGUGAAAUUUUGUUGGAAUCGCCGUUCCACCAUUAAAUCCGAUACACCUAUCUCGCUGGAAAAAUCAUAAAAACCAACGACCAAGCUUCUCGCUGGAAACCAAUCAGAAAACCAGCUCCAUUCCUCACCAGACUCGCAAAACCAACGAAUAACCAACCCCAUUUGAGUUGAUUUCAGUGAAGUCUCAACGAAAAAUAACCAUAAGUUUUGAAUUCUAUUGAUUCCAGCAGAUCAAACUACCAGAAACACUAUCUCCGUUUGAACUUCGGUCAUCUCUUGUCAUCGGGUUAAAGCCAUCCAGCAGCUCCACCACCAAAACCUACUAGAAAACAACCGGGUUUAGGCAAAACAGAGUUCUGGUCAAAGUUGUUAAGUUGGGAUUUGUAUUGGGGUUCAAAUCGAUGUUUUUAGGUGCGGAUUUUGUCUGUUCAUUUGAGUAAUAUUGGAUUUCGAAAGCUCCAAAUUGAGGUCCAACUCUACUUUUUCCCUCUCUUUAUUUCAUUAUCUAUGAUAUUUGGUGCAUUGGAUUGAACAUUGUUUGUUGGUUGAUCCUUAUUGGUGAUGAAUAGUUGCUUGUGUUGAUUUUCUUGAUUAUGGAUUGUGUGAUGAAAUGAUAUCUCUUUUGAGAACUAAACUCAUGUUAGUUGGGAAUGAAUUUUGGGGCGAAAAUUGUAAAUUGAUAAAAGUGAAUAUUGAUUUUGUUUUGAUUCAUUGAUGUUGUUGAAUGCGAUAGUACCAUAAUAAGCCAAAAUUGGUAAGCAAACGGUAGAUUGGGUAAGAAAAUUUAGGAAUUAUAGAUUAUUGAAUUUGUUGAAUGUUUUUUAAUUUAUCGCACAAAAUUGAAAUUGUAUUCAUUUGCAAGGGAAUGUCUUGAGAAAAAUUAUAUUUAUUCAUCUGAAAAUACCCCGAUGUAUUAUAUCUUCGAAGGAGAUUCUUGAUCAAGGUCUGAGACAUCGCGUAGAGCAUAGUUUAGGAUUAAUGUAAGUUAGUGUAGGUUUUCAUUUCAACAUUUUUUAUUCGAUUUGUAUUAAUUGGACUAGACACUGUUUUUUUUUUUUUAAAUUUUGGUGGUUUGAUUGUUUGUUUUCUUGUUUAUGUGUUUUGUUGGUUUAUACAUUUUCAUAGUGUCAUACUAGCCAAUAUAUUCUACGAAGAAAUCGUGGUCAAACCACGGGACUGAGGGAUGCCUAACACCUUCCCCUUGAUCAAUAGAAUUCUUUAAUCGGAAUAUUUGUUCGUGGAUCAAUUUUAAAGAGUCAAAAAAUCAUUUUGAAAAAGGAUUUUCAAAGGUGACUUGGCACACCAGAUUUAUGCCAAGUGGCGACUUUGAGUUUUAUUGUGAAAAAUUCUUUUCGAGGGUAACAGACAUUCAUCACCAUAUCUUAUAGUAUCCUUACAUGCUAAUUGUUGCAUCUUUGAGGGUAACAAGGUUAUUUAACUAGGGGUGGGCAUUCAGUUUGUUCAGUUUGCCUGUUUCAUAUUCAGUUUUUUGAUUUUUGAAUUGACGAAAAUGACAACCAUAACCAAACAAAAUUAAAUUCAGUUUGAUUCGGUUUCUACAAAUUCAGUUCGGUUAUUUCAAAUUAUUAUUUCGGUUUUGAAGAUUAAAUUAGCAAACCUUACUUUGUUAUGACUGGUUUUGAAAUGUUGUACAUCUAUGUCAAUUUUUCAUGAAAUACCAAGCAAAUACGUCGAUGAUUCAUGCAUGUUGGUGAUAUAGACAUCUCAAGCAACACAAGUAUUGCUUAUUAUAUAAGACUUAAGUGAAUAUGGAAAGGUGUUGUUGCUCCCAAUGUUAUCCAUCAAAUCACAAUACUAUGAGUCUCCGACUAUAAAUUCUAAUAAUUGUCGCAACAAUACCACAAGACAUGAAUUUAGGGACGUAAAUAGUAAGAUUAGGUUACUUAUUAUAUAUUUAUAUUGAAUAUAUAAAAUAUAUAUUAUUUAUAUAAUUUGGUUUUUCGGUUUAACCAAUUUUUUUUGAAAAAACGAAAAUCAAAUUGUUUAAUCAAAUUUCAAAAAUUUGAAAUCGAGAUCAAUCCAAAAAAUAAAAAAACUGAAACCAAAUUUAAAUUUUGAUUUUUUCGGUUUAAACCAAAAUAUGCCCAGUCCUACAUUUAACAGACUGAUUUGGGGGAAUGUGCUAGAAUUACAAAAAAACGUGUGUUUAGGCAAGAAAAAGUUCAAGAGAAAAAGAAAAAAAGAAAAAAAUUGUAAUGUUUAGGAUAUUUUAUGCUUUUGUUUUUCACACUCAAAAAUGCAAAAAGAUUUUUUACCUUUUGCACUUCGUUUUCUGAAAAAAAAAAAAAAGAUCAAAAAGAUUUCCCCUUUGUUUCCUUUAGCAAGCAUUCAUAAUUCAAAAAUUUAAUUUUUUUUUAAUAGGAGAUUUUUAUAAAAGAAAAAGAGAAAAUACCCAAUUACCCCCCUGAACUAUACCCAAGAAGGCUAUACCACACCUCGACUUAAAAGGGAUCCUAUUACACCCCUGAACUAAUUAAGUGUAAUUUUGACACCCUUAGUGCCUAUGUGGCACAUAGGUGGCACACACGUGUGCCUACGUGGACACUUCAGUGUGUUGUGCCACGUAUGUGCCACGUAGACAUUAAGGGUGUCAAAAUUAUACUUUUAAUUAGUUCAGGGGUAAUAAGACCUCCUUUAAGUUGAGGUGUGUCAUAACCUUUUUGAGUAUAGUUCAGGGGGGUAAUUGGGUAUUAUCUCAAAGAAAAAUUCAAAAAGAUGGUAGAAGUUUUGUACAUUUCAUAUAACUAAAAUGCCAAAAAGAUUUUUCUUUAAGUGUUGUCAUGUUUUUCUUCGUUGAAAAUUUCAAACAAAACAAGUUGUGGUGGUGCUUUAUUUUGAACAAUACCAAAACCUACUAGAAAACAACCGGGUUUAGGCAAAACAGAGUUCUGGUCAAAGUUGUUAAGUUGGGAUUUGUAUUGGGGUUCAAAUCGAUGUUUUUAGGUGCGGAUUUUGUCUGUUCAUUUGAGUAAUAUUGGAUUUCGAAAGCUCCAAAUUGAGGUCCAACUCUACUUUUUCCCUCUCUUUAUUUCAUUAUCUAUGAUAUUUGGUGCAUUGGAUUGAACAUUGUUUGUUGGUUGAUCCUUAUUGGUGAUGAAUAGUUGCUUGUGUUGAUUUUCUUGAUUAUGGAUUGUGUGAUGAAAUGAUAUCUCUUUUGAGAACUAAACUCAUGUUAGUUGGGAAUGAAUUUUGGGGCGAAAAUUGUAAAUUGAUAAAAGUGAAUAUUGAUUUUGUUUUGAUUCAUUGAUGUUGUUGAAUGCG
rnacentral:lncRNA from 1 species